rnacentral:rRNA from 1 species
CCUACGGGAGGCAGCAGUGGGGGAUAUUGCACAAUGGGGGAAACCCUGAUGCAGCGACGCCGCGUGGGAGAAGAAGUAUUUCGGUAUGUAAAGCCCUAUCAGCAGGGAAGAAGAAAUGACGGUACCUGAGUAAGAAGCACCGGCUAAAUACGUGCAAGCAGCCGCGGUAAUACGUAUGGUGCAAGCGUUAUCCGGAUGUACUGGGUGGAAAGGGAGCGCAGGCGGCACGGCAAGCCUGAUGUGAAAGCCCGCGGCCCAACCGCGGGACUGCAUUGGGAACUACCGGGCUGGAGUGCCGGAGAGGUAGGCGGAAUUCCUAGUGUAGCGGUGAAAUGCGUAGAUAUUAGGAGGAACACCAGUGGCGAAGGCGGCCUACUGGACGGUGACUGACGCUGAGGCUCGAAAGCGUGGGGAGCAAACAGGAUUAGAUACCCUAGUAGUC